rnacentral:rRNA from 1 species
CGCAGCCGCGGUAAUUCCAGCUCCAAUAGCGUAUAUUAAAGUUGCUGCAGUUAAAAAGCUCGUAGUUGAAUUUCGGGACCAAUAUGUCGGUCGUGCCUCGGUACGUACUGGCAUCGUUGGUUUCUCCCUUCUGACGAACCAUGAUGUCAUUUAUUUGGUGUCGUGGGGAAUCAGGACUGUUACUUUGAAAAAAUUAGAGUGUUUAAAGCAGGCUCACGCUUGAAUACAUUAGCAUGGAAUAAUGAAAUAGGACGUUUGAUUCUAUUUUGUUGGUUUCUAGGAUCGACGUAAUGAUUAAUAGGGAUAGUUGGGGGCAUUAGUAUUCAAUUGUCAGAGGUGAAAUUCUUGGAUUUAUUGAAGACUAACUACUGCGAAAGCAUUUGCCAAGGAUGUUUUCAUUAAUCAAGAACGAAAGUUAGGGGAUCGAAGACGAUCAGAUACCGUCGUAGUCUUAACCAUAAACUAUGCCGACUAGGGAUCGGAUGAUGUUAAUUUUUUAAUGACUCAUUCGGCGCCUUAA